rnacentral:rRNA from 1 species
UACGUAGGUGGCAAGCGUUGUCCGGAAUUAUUGGGCGUAAAGCGCGCGCAGGCGGUUCUUUAAGUCUGAUGUGAAAGCCCACGGCUCAUCCGUGGAGGGUCAUUGGAAACUGGAGAACUUGAGUACAGAAGAGGAAAGCGGAAUUCCACGUGUAGCGGUGAAAUGCGUAGAGAUGUGGAGGAACACCAGUGGCGAAGGCGGCUUUCUGGUCUGUAACUGACGCUGAGGCGCGAAAGCGUGGGGAGCAAACAGG